rnacentral:rRNA from 1 species
GACGAACGCUGGCGGCGUGCCUAAUACAUGCAAGUAGAACGCUGAAGAGAGGAGCUUACUCUUCUUGGAUGAGUUGCGAACGGGUGAGUAACGCGUAGGUAACCUGCCUUGUAGCGGGGGAUAACUAUUGGAAACGAUAGCUAAUACCGCAUAACAAUGGAUGACACAUGUCAUUUAUUUGAAAGGGGCAAUUGCUCCACUACAAGAUGGACCUGCGUUGUAUUAGCUAGUAGGUGAGGUAAUGGCUCACCUAGGCGACGAUACAUAGCCGACCUGAGAGGGUGAUCGGCCACACUGGGACUGAGACACGGCCCAGACUCCUACGGGAGGCAGCAGUAGGGAAUCUUCGGCAAUGGGGGCAACCCUGACCGAGCAACGCCGCGUGAGUGAAGAAGGUUUUCGGAUCGUAAAGCUCUGUUGUAAGUCAAGAACGGGUGUGAGAGUGGCAAGUUCACACUGUGACGGUAGCUUACCAGAAAGGGACGGCUAACUACGUG